rnacentral:rRNA from 1 species
UACGGAAGGCAGCAGUGGGGAAUAUUGGACAAUGGGCGCAAGCCUGAUCCAGCCAUGCCGCGUGUGUGAAGAAGGCCUUUUUGGUUGUAAAGCACUUUAAGCGAGGAGGAAGGCUCUCUUAGUUAAUACCUAAGAUGAGUGGACGUUACUCGCAGAAUAAGCACCGGCUAACUCUGUGCCAGCAGCCGCGGUAAUACAGAGGGUGCGAGCGUUAAUCGGAUUUUACUGGGCGUAAAGCGUGCGUAGGCGGCUUUUUUAAGUCGGAUGUGAAAUCCCCGAGCUUAACUUGGGAAUUGCAUUCGAUACUGGGAAGCUAGAGUAUGGGAGAGGAUGGUAGAAUUCCAGGUGUAGCGGUGAAAUGCGUAGAGAUCUGGAGGAAUACCGAUGGCGAAGGCAGCCAUCUGGGCCUAAUACUGACGCUGAGGUACGAAAGCAUGGGGA